rnacentral:tRNA from 1 species
GGAGAGGUCGCAUAGUGGCCUAGUGCGUUGGUCUUGAAAACCAAUGUCCCGCAAGGGACCGCGAGUUCGAAUCUCGCCCUCUCCG